GCAGAUGUAGCUCAGUGGUAGAGCGCAACCUUGCCAAGGUUGAUGCCAUGGGUUCGAAUCCCAUUAUCUGCU
rnacentral:tRNA from 1 species